CUUUAGCCCCUAUCCCAAAAUCCCGAUAGGCUGUGGCCGUGUAUAUAAGUUUGUAUGCUGGGGGUGGGGAGAGGACUCGUCAAACAAUAUUCAGCUGAAAGUAAACUAUGUCAGCAACUUUGUACACUCCGCUAUCCUUCGCACUAUCCUCUUCAUCUUCCUCUCCUCAGGAGAAGUUGGGGUUCGCAGUUCGAUCCGCGAAGCAGACCUUAGCUUUUAAGCCUCUGAGGUUUUUUCCUUCCGUCCGAGCUGCGACUGACUUCUCUUCGUCGCUUGACACUGGUUUGAGCACGGAAUUGGAUGCCGUUUCGAGUUACAGCGAGAUUGUUCCGGACACUGUCGUUUUUGAUGAUUUCGAGAGGUUUCCUCCAACCGCUGCCACUGUUAGCUCCUCUCUAAUAUUGGGUAUUUGCAGCCUUCCCGACACUAAAUUCAGGAGUGCUGUUGACACUGCACUGGCUGAUUCAGAGUGUUAUGGCUUAGAAAAAUCUGAUGAUCGUCUCUCUUGUUUCCUCAACAAGGCUUUGGUGAAUAUUGGAGGUGAUCUUGCAAAGCUAGUGCCUGGCCGCGUUUCUACUGAAGUUGAUGCUCGUCUGGCAUAUGAUACACAUGCCAUUGUUCACAAGGUGCAUGACCUUUUGAAACUGUAUCAUGAAAUUGGCGUACCCCCGGAGAGAUUAUUGUUUAAAAUCCCUUCAACUUGGCAAGGCAUUGAAGCAUCAAGGAUAUUGGAAUCUGAAGGCAUACAGACACACAUGACUUUUGUCUAUAGUUUUUGUCAGGCUGCAGCUGCUGCUCAAGCUGGUGCUUCUGUUAUUCAAAUUUUUGUUGGUCGUCUAAGGGAUUGGGCACGCAACCAUACUGGUGACUCUGAACUGGAAACUGCUCUUAGGAGAGGGGAAGAUCCUGGAUUGGCUUUGGUUACAAAAGCUUAUAACUACAUUCAUAAAUAUGGGUAUAAAUCAAGAUUGAUGGCUGCAGCAAUCCGCAACAAGCAAGAUAUAUUUAAUCUUUUAGGGAUCGAUUACAUCAUCACUCCAUUGAAAAUAUUGCAGUCUCUGAAGGAUUCUGUGACACCGCCUGAUGAGAAGUACUCUCUGAUGAGAAGGCUAUCCCCACAAUCUGCUGCUGCAUACAAUUUUAAGGAUGAAGAGCUUGUCAAGUGGGAGCAAGAUGGGUUUGCCUCAGCUAUGGGUCCAGCAGCAGUGGAGCUUCUAGCUGCUGGAAUGGAUGGCUACGCUAGCCAAUCACAGCGUGUGGAAGAAUUAUUUGGGAAGAUGUGGCCACCUCCGAAUGUAUAAACAUCCGUUGCAUUGCAUUGCCUUUUUGUUGCCUCCUGCAAAUAAAUGGUGCCAUUGCGACCACCCGCCGCCCUUGUUUCUUUAUAGUUAGGGAACCCGUGAAGUCAGAGAAUGUCCAAGGCCUUUCAACUUCUUCUGUCUCUCAGCUGAAAUGGUGUUCAAACUUCAAACUAUUUCACUCACUCACUCACUGAUUAUGAGAAUCAGCUGGUUAGUAACCAACUCAGUCAGAAAUGGGGUGAGAACUGAGAAGAGAAUUGGCUCCUGGUAUCCAUGGCUAUCUAUCUAUUCUAUUCUAUUGAA